UCAAUGGCCACCUUAAAUACAGCAUUAGCAUUUUGAUAUUUAUGGGGUUCACGAAAGUAGCAACAUGAGCUUUGUUAUCAUGGCUAAAACAUCAUGAAAAGCUGCUUUUUUCCAUCAAUUUAAAGGUUAUUUGGAUCAUCUUUACUGUUUGUUCAUAAUUUGGUUAACCGGGGAUAUACGCAAGAUCAACAGCAACUUUGGGUUUUGAUAAGGAAAUAUUUCCAAUCUGAUGAGGAGAUCGAAAGCUUUUAGCAAUGGGUUUUGAUAAGGUUGAAGUCGCCAUAGCUACUACUAAUGGCGAUCUCAAUGUAGCUGUUGAAUUGGUUGGUAUGGUAACAGUUUGGAGCUGGUCCUAGGUUGAAGCCAAACGGUCCGGGUUGGGCCGAUCCAUCCACACCUUUUGUCUUUCUUUAUAGGGCUUUACUGAUUAUGUUUCUCAUUACAAGAAUCAUUUUUUUAUAAAUGGUACACAUUUUGAAUAUACGUCGAGGAUUUUGAAAA